UCUACAACGUUUGUUCCUGCAUCAGGCUAACAAGUGCAUUGUUACAGUGUGCCUUCUUUUUCUGAUCAGGGUCGUUCUCGUCCUCUUGAAGGGAAGCGCUGAGAGCUGCAAGGCCACAAGAGGGCAUGUUCUCUUUUACGUCGAUCCACUUGACUGCUGGCCAUGCAACUUCAAGUCGACAGUGCGUAUUUAGUACAUUGAUGUUCCAGAUUCUGCUGAGAACUGAAAUGAUUCCACAAAGUCUUUGGCACCUUCACACUCUCCUCUUGCCUCACAGGAGCCCAUUACUCACAAAGGUGUUGAUGAGUUUCGCAAGACAGACUGUUGUCUGUCUCACGCAGUACAAGGCUACCAAGGUCAUUUGAUACUAUCAAAGAGCUGGUAACGUAAGAUGGAUUUGAAAUAGCUCCAUAUUACGUGGCGAAGUCCUGGAGUCAUCCUUCUCUUUGGAAAGAAGACUUAAUACUUCAAAGGUGACAUGAAGGUGAGAAUCCAGCAUACUCCAUUGUACCUCAGACAUCUGUGUGCCUUAUGUGUAGACAGUCUCACCUGGGUGUCCAGUCUGCAUUCUUUCUGUUAAAUAUAACUUAAAGUUACUGUAUUUGCCUUCUUCCUUGGGGAAGAAAACCCAGUGUGUUUAGUCUCUUUGUUUCUUUGCUGUUUCUGAGAUUACAAUGGAAACAUUCAUGCUUUUCCUUUCAGUAAGGUCUCCUCAAUGAUGUUACUACUGUUGGGUCUGGCUUUUUUCUCAGGCUUGAAGAGUAACAGUAACUUCAAGUACAUUCCCAUUUUGAAAAGAGACUGUAAAAAUGGCAUCAAGGGCUCCUUUUUCCUUCUCACUAAGGCUGUGCCAGUACUGGCUGCAGACAUCAAAUAGAAAUUACUUUGCAAAGCUGAUGGUGCACAAGGGACCAGCCUCCUUGAUGAAAACCAAGCCUUGCUGAAAGCACAGAUUGCACCCUGAAUGCAUGUGGGCAGGAGCUGGAUGAAUAAGAGAGAAAGUGGAUGACUUGGUUGAGAUUCUAAAGGAACCGAGGGAGAAACUGAUAAGCAAAACAAACCAGCUCUCCAUAACAGCUGGGAUUUGGGAGGUCCUUGUUCCCAUCCUGAGAUGGUGAUCUUCUGACUCAGUAUCUCCUCCUAUCUCUUCCAUGUGAAGUCUGGCAUCACCCUUUCACAUUAGUUUUCUGUUUGGUUUUAACUAUGCUGUCUUGAACUUCUUCAUCUUUUCAAGGCAAACAUGAGUUUUGCUCCAUGACAGAUGACUUUAAAAACUCAAGCAGACAAGCAUUUUUAAUUAGAGUCAAACCAAAGUCAAAUCAGGCUGAAAUAAACUGCAUUCUGGUCUAGCACAACAUUAGCCCUUAAACAAAUAGCGAGAAGCCUGGGCUGCCUCUGUACAGCAGAUGGCAUUACAGGUAAUAUUUAUCAUACUCCAAUCCCAAGGCUAAGAUAGCAGGGAGGGAGCACUGACGUCAGCUACAAGUGAAUCAGUCUUAAUACAAGCUGAAAAACUGCUUGUGCCUUCCACAGUUGAUUACAUUGCACAGCACUUCUGCUUAGAGUUCCCCAUUGCAUUUAUUGGUCUGAGCAAGCCUAGCAGGAAGAGUUCAUUUUGUUUUGCAGCUUAACUGAACUGAUGGAAGUGGAUCUUGGACUUUGAGGUGGGAAGAUUCCACCCAGCUGCAGUAACCAGGGGAAUGCCCUUUGCCCCGGUUUUGGUGCCAAAUUUGUGCAUUUGAGAAUUUUAAACAAAUAUCACUUGGCAGGAUAUUGACCCUCAGGGUACAAGAAUAAUGCAGAGUGAGGCUGCAGGAGGGCAUGUCCUGGGAGGGAUUUAUGGGAGACCUAUCAGGACUCGUACUGAACAGUGGGGAAACCCAAAUGUCCUGUUUCAUUUCCAACGGUUGUUCUUUGUCUCAUGGGAGAUAAGUGAGCUGAAUGAAAACCAACAGCAGUUUUGCAUCUGGGCACAGUGUGAGUGAAAGACUACGGUGCAGGAGUGAAAGAGUUCAGCAGUGGUCACUAAUUCUCAUAUAGAUGAUGCCACCUUCCUCGUGUCUGGGUGCUGAGCAGGGAUUGAGGAGCAUGAGCUGGCAUGGGAGCCCUUACUGAAACAUGGGGCUGUGCUCUACCAAGUGUGUUUGACAGCCUUGUGCUCACACUGUUUCCCAACCCAUGCUGACUGGCAAAGCAGUACAGAGAGUGUCCCAUCCAGCUCCGGGAAACACCCCAUGCUUCCAACCAAACCUGGGUUCUCUGUGGCUCAACACAGUGUGC